AAAAAAGCCAAACAAACUCAUGAACAGAUUAAAACAUUACGUACAAUACUAUAUACUCUUAAUCUUUGGCAUUUCUACCAUUUUAAAUACAUCUUCCGUAAGUAUGAAUGCUGUUUAGCCAAACUGUCAAAGCACAUAUAGGAAUUGAAUUAUGGAAAUAUAAAUCCCAGGGCCUUCCACAAACCAAGACACAGAGAAACCAAAGAUUUUCACAUAAGGGUUGAAAGCAUAUGCCAUGUGGCAUAUUUUAUAAUUUAAGAACAAGAACUGUAACUAACAGGGUGCCACUGCAAAGGCCUAUUCGAUUCAUAUGACAAAAAAUAAAUGAAAAGAAAGGUGGUGCCAUACCUACCAAAGGCAAAAAAAAAAUUAUACAAUAAUAAUGAAUCUCUUUGCCAAGACAGCUAUCCAAUGAAUAUUAAUGCCAAAACAUGAUUGAAUUUGAGCAAACAUAAUCAAAACAAAGUUGCACAAUGCAAGUCGAGCCCAAGAGUCUGUUAAGAUGAACAAGUCAUAAAUACAUUGAAGUUCAGCUUGUUUACAGCCCCCCAAAGCACAACACUCCACCAGGAGGCAAUACCAUGCAAUUGGUAAGGGGUGAAAAAGUUUGUUUUACAACCUUAAUAAGCUGGAUAGACUAUUCAUUGGUUAUUAAAGAUUCAACGAAACCAUUAUAAGAAAAAUAGAUAAGACCUUCAAUACUCUACAAGUUAAUGUAAUGAUUCAGCUCAUACCAAUUCAUCCUCCUACAAUGGAUUAAGGCCAGAUAUUACUAUAGAAAGCAUCAUAAAAUGAUUUUGCUAACUUAAAGAGUUCUGAACAUUCUAAAAAAAUUAUAUAGAACUAUGAAAAGAAAGAAUCUGUCUCAAUAUGAAUGUCAUGAGCAAACAACCUUUCAUCCACUGAGACAAUCCAUUUUCCUUCAACAAGUAUAUAGAGAGAUAGAGAGUGCAAAGGAAAGAGUAAUCACUACCUCGAUCUCUUAGCCACUUGCAUGUAGCACAUUGUGCGCUCAUCCUAGCUCAAUACUCAGCUAGCUGAAAAGCCAUAAGUGGCAUCAUUUGUUUGGAAUUGGUAACCUGCUCUUGAAAACAGUUGCCACGCACUUCGAAACUAUUGCCACGCACUUCCUGGUCCACCUGUCAUAGCUUGAGCCUCAGCAAGAGAAACAGCCAUGGCCAGCAUCAUCUGCUCCUCAAAACUCUCAGGAACAAUGGGUCCAGAGUUACUCUGAAAUUGCUCCCCAAUUUCGUCCGCUGGCAGUGGCAGCGGUGGCGGCGGAGGUAAUAAAACAGAAAUUCCACCAGCAUCUUCUGCUGUAUCAGAGCUUCCGCAACUAGUCCCACCUUCAGCAGUAUCUGAUCCUUCAUCUGCAGCCCAUUCUCCAUCAUUUCUUGCAGUGGCCAUUCGGCAAUCUGCUGACAUAUUGCAGGAGCUCUGUGCAGGGGGGUAAUUCUCUGCAUCCUGAUCUGGCCUGUUGUAAAAGCUACUACUGCCUGGAAGCAUGUUGCAUGCUGAAAUGUUUCCAUUAUUAUGAGCAAAAGAUUCCCCACCCAUCUGCUGACGCUCGGCAAGGGCAGCUAUUGCACUAGCAAGACCCCCGGAAGGGGAGGAUGAUGAGCCAGUCACCGUUGCCAUUGCUUGCGAUGCAUAAUGACCUUCUACAGCAUAGUUUUCAGAUGAAGUAGCAUCGAUAUAAACUGGAUUUUUCUGUCUGCCAUUCUCCUGAAUAGAAAGCCAAAUAGCCUCCAUAACCAUAAUGUCUUCAAGAUCUAGAUCAAAUUCAUCAUCCCUGUUCAGUCUAUUAUGUGGAGCAUGUCUGAUCGAGUGUUGAGAAGGAACAACUUCCUCACUUUCCACAGAAGACCUAAGAGAUUGAACAGCAGCAGAAUCAUAUUCAACCUCCCCUGGAGCAACACUGGUACUUGAAGAACUUAAGUCUAGUCUUUUCUGCAUUCUCUCUUCUUCAUCCUGAAUUUCCUGCUGCCGCAUCCUAAUUUUUGCUUCUAUAACACGUUGUUCUUCAAUUUGCUCCAUGCCCUUUUCCUCUUUUGAUUUCACACCUCGAUACUCCACAGCAUAAUUUGAAGUUUUGCAAAAAGGACAUCUGAUAUUGUUAAAGCAUGACAAGAAUACAAAACAUGGAUCCCAAAAGGAGUCAAAUUGGGAAAAAAAAUGCAACUGAGCAUCAAAAUCUUGCACGUAAGGAUACUGAGUAGGACGAGUUGAAUUAGGAUUUUUCAUCUGCAGAAAACACUCUGGUGCCAAGAAAAAUCAAUUGCAUACAAAACAUUAACAACAAAAUAUGUCUUUGCAAAAUUCAUUGACCAAUUACCUGUACAAAUGCCCUUCAUGCAACAUCGUGAUCGGUUGAGACUUGGGUAAUACUGAGACAAAAAACAGAAGGCCAGGAUUUGUCACACACACAGAAAAUAUACAAAAUUCCAAAUAAUGUCGAAAUGAAUCUCAGGCAGCUGAUUAUUUUUCCUCAGCAACAAUAAACCAUUGAGCAAGAAAAUUGAAACUGAUAUCUUAAAAAUUCAGUUCUUGCCUCCAUCAAGAAUGGUAAAACAUGUAACUGAAUAUUGGAUUGUUCAACAAAAGCAAAGAGAACUGUCAAUAAUAAAGAAAAAUGAAAAUCAAGAGCAUUUAAUAUUUCAAAAGUAUCAAUUCUUUUUAUUUUCUUUUUCCAAGCAAACAAAACACAGCCAAGAAUGGGGAGAUAUUCCAAUUUCCAAAAAAGAAUUAAAAAAGACAGAGAGAUACAAAC
rnacentral:misc_RNA from 1 species